UAGUACGGCGAGUGAACCGGGAAGAGCUCAAAUUUGAAAUCUGGCGUGCUCAGUGCGUCCGAGUUGUAAUCUAUAGAGACGUUUUCCGUGCCGGACCGUGUCCAAGUCCCUUGGAACAGGGUAUCAAAGAGGGUGACAAUCCCGUACUUGACACGAUGACCGGUGCUCUGUGAUACGUCUUCUACGAGUCGAGUUGUUUGGGAAUGCAGCUCAAAAUGGGUGGUGAGUUCCAUCUAAAGCUAAAUAUUGGCGAGAGACCGAUAGCGAACAAGUACCGUGAGGGAAAGAUGAAAAGCACUUUGGAAAGAGAGUUAAACAGUACGUGAAAUUGUUGAAAGGGAAACGAUUGAAGUCAGUCGUGACUGAGAGGCUCAGCCGGUUCUGCCGGUCUAUUCCCCUCAGUCGGGUCAACAUCAGUUUUGUCCGGUGGAGAAUGACGGCAGGAAGGUGGCGCCCUCCGCUGUGGUAUAACCUGUUGUCGCAUACAUCGUAUGAUAAUGAUGAAUGCAGCUCGCCUUUAUGGUCGGGGCCCGCCCACCUCCUACCAUAUGAUGUUGACAUAAUGGCUUUAAACAACCCGUCUUG
rnacentral:rRNA from 1 species